rnacentral:rRNA from 1 species
UACGUAGGGGGGCAAGCGUUUGUCCGGAUUUAUUGGGCGUAAAGAGCGUGUAGGCGGCCAGAUAGGUCAGCUGUGAAAACUCGAGGCUCAACCUCGAGACGUCGGUUGAAACCAUCUGGCUAGAGUCCGGAAGAGGAGAGUGGAAUUCCUGGUGUAGCGGUGAAAUGCGCAGAUAUCAGGAGGAACACCAAUUGCGAAGGCAGCUCGCUGGGACGUUACUGACGCUGAGACGCGAAAAGCGUGGGGGAGCAAAACAGG